rnacentral:rRNA from 1 species
UACGUAGGGUGCGAGCGUUAAUCGGAAUUACUGGGCGUAAAGUGUGCGCAGGCGGCAGAGCAAGUCGAGUGUGAAAGCCCCGAGCUUAGCUUGGGAAUUGCGCUCGAAACUACUUGGCUGGAGUGUGGCAGAGGAAGGUGGAAUUCCACGUGUAGCGGUGAAAUGCGUAGAGAUGUGGAGGAACACCAAUGGCGAAGGCAGCCUUCUGGGCCAACACUGACGCUCAUGCACGAAAGCGUGGGGAGCAAACAGG